rnacentral:rRNA from 1 species
AGCGAACGCUGGCGGCAGGCUUAACACAUGCAAGUCGAGCGGGCCCUUCGGGGUCAGCGGCAGACGGGUGAGUAACGCGUGGGAACGUACCCUUUGGUUCGGAAUAACUCAGGGAAACUUGAGCUAAUACCGGAUACGCCCUUUUUGGGGAAAGGCUUGCUGCCGAAGGAUCGGCCCGCGUCUGAUUAGCUUGUUGGUGAGGUUAUGGCUCACCAAGGCGACGAUCAGUAGCUGGUCUGAGAGGAUGAUCAGCCACACUGGGACUGAGACACGGCCCAGACUCCUACGGGAGGCAGCAGUGGGGAAUAUUGGACAAUGGGGGCAACCCUGAUCCAGCCAUGCCGCGUGAGUGAUGACGGCCUUAGGGUUGUAAAGCUCUUUUCUCCGGGACGAUAAUGACGGUACCGGAGGAAUAAGCCCCGGCUAACUUCGUGCCAGCCGCCGCGGUAA